GCCAUUAUUACGAACAAAGCGAUUAUAGUCGGCAUAGGAAUUGAUGAAUUUCGAAACAUUUUUUUGUAAUACACUUGUUGUGUUUUGAAGGCAGUGCUGAGAUUUUUGUGCAAAUGGCCAACGUUAGUCAGCAUUCGCUUUGACACCAAAUAAUUAACACAUGCGCAGUGCCACGAAUUGGAAGUGAGGGGCAUAAAGAAACGCAAAGUGAAGGAUUCGCAGCAAACACUACUUUGGACGUCACCGCGGAUUGUUAUUCAUUCAAUUAGUUAUGUGUUCUUAUUCUUUGUUUAUUUUUUAUUAAACAUUUAGUGCCCACAUUCAGGGGCUCGCAUUUGUAUGCUUUCUGCUCAGUUCAUUAUCUAAUGUACUCGAGCAAGAAGCUAGCUGCCGAUUUAGGUCGUCGUAGUGAGCCGAUAACGCACAGAAAUUAAUAUCUAAUUUUAAAGCAUUUGAUAUUUGCCCAUCCAUUCACAUCGAACCGUGAUUUUUUUGCUGUUAUAUUAUAGUUAUUAGCAGAUACAUACAUAUGUAUGUAUAUAUACUUAUGUAUUAAUAUAAUUACGGUGUUCACCAACCACGUGAGUUGUCGAAUUCAAUUUUGCUGUGAUUAUGAAAGUGAACAGGGAGUUCGAUUAAAAGGAAUUGUCGUUGAUUUCGUUUUUUUUCUAUACAAUAUUAAUGAGUGCCAGAAAUUGAUUAAUAAAUAAACACGUUCACAGAAGUACAAACAGCUGCAAAGGCACUACGCGACGUGCGUAUAAAUCGAAACUGAAAACUGUGCUUACUGCACUUUUAUUCGAACCAAGCAACGGCUCUCGGACCCACUCAGCCAUUCACACUCACGAGACUCCGCUUGCGUGCUGCAUAUAAACAAAAAUAAAACAUUUGUUCUCGCUUAUACAUACAUAUACACAAUUCAAUCUACGCACGUAGUAACAUAUUCGUCCAUAAAUGGUUGUGUGUUCAUUUGUGUAUAUAUCUAUGUACAUAUGUAUAUGUAUAAGUUGUAAGUUCAUUCUGUACACAAUGUAUAAACAAAACAAUAUGUUUAUACUUCGCGUAAAACAAACCGCACAAUCAAGCAACUCUCCGCACACUCAAUUGAAGUCGCAAGAGAAACUUCUCUCAGCCGUUAAGCUCGGGAGCACGGUCCUAACGCCUUUCCUCGUCGCCCCUUCGCCAACAAAAACCUGUUUGGACGACAAGGAAACCUUCGUGUGAACUCAGUCUCAGCAGCUGGAGAAGAGACUUUUUCAUAAAAAACUGAAAUUCACGACAUAUGGCGGUUGGAAGUAAAAUUGGUCAUCAUAGUUGUUCUCACUUUCAUUCACGCUUUUCAACGUUAUGGUCUCCGACGCUUCCUUCUGGGUGUUACAAACUUCGUGGCAAACUUAAUAUACCCUGUUCAGGGAAUAAUUAAGACAAGUCUGUGACGCUUGAAAGUCAGUCUAUUCUUUUGAGACUUCAAUGGAAAUGGUUAAGCUUGGACUCGACCAACAAGUUCCCUUUAGCAAUUCACAUACAUAUGUAUGUAUGUAUGUAUGUAUGUAUAGCUUUUUGUCUACCAACUCAUCAUUUACUCAUCAACAGUAGAUCACACGUAUGUAUAAAGACUUACGCCUGAUCAACGUAUACAAAUCGUUCAAUUUUAUUACCAAAAUUAUGUUCUGGAAUGAAUAUGUUUCGCUCGCUUCGUUCAACUUAUAGUCAACAUAAUCGGCCUACUGAGCAUACUAUUCGCAACACCGCAAGCCAUCUUGAGACCCAGAAUUCGUUAUUCGAUAAUAAUCGAACGAGUGAACCACGUCCAGUAUGCAGUGAAGAAAAUAUAGCAGUCGUAGAUGAAAGUGUAUAAGAAGACCGUAGAGAAGCGAUUCGGCGCCAUUUUUAGUAUACAGGAUGGAUAUUACAAUGGAUUUAUCGAGAGAACACUUCGGUGAGCAGAUAAUUUCACGUUUUGGGCCGGUCGAUUGGCCACCAAGGUCGUGUAAUCAUGUUAAAAUCUAAAGUCUAUGCAGACAAUCCCGCUUCGAUUCAGGUAUUGGAGUAAAACAUCAAUCGUGUCAUUCGCCAGUAACUAGUCGAAAUAUUGGAACGAGAUAUCGAAAAUUGGACUCAACGGAUGGACCAUCUGAGACGUAGCCGCGGCUAAUAUUUGAAAGAGAUAAUCUUCAAAUAAUAGAUGCCAAAUAAUAUUAUUUCGAACGAUAAUAGACAUUCCCCGUUAAAUUUGAA